CCUACGGGCGGCUGCAGUGGGGAAUAUUGCACAAUGGGCGCAAGCCUGAUGCAGCCAUGCCGCGUGUGUGAAGAAGGCCUUCGGGUUGUAAAGCACUUUCAGCGGGGAGGAAGGCGUUAAGGUUAAUAACCUUGUCGAUUGACGUUACCCGCAGAAGAAGCACCGGCUAACUCCGUGCCAGCAGCCGCGGUAAUACGGAGGGUGCAAGCGUUAAUCGGAAUUACUGGGCGUAAAGCGCACGCAGGUGGUCUGUCAAGUCGGAUGUGAAAUCCCCGGGCUCAACCUGGGAACUGCAUUCGAAACUGGCAGGCUAGAGUCUUGUAGAGGGGGGUAGAAUUCCAGGUGUAGCGGUGAAAUGCGUAGAGAUCUGGAGGAAUACCGGUGGCGAAGGCGGCCCCCUGGACAAAGACUGACGCUCAGGUGCGAAAGCGUGGGGAGCAAACAGGAUUAGAUACCCGUGUAGUC
rnacentral:rRNA from 1 species